rnacentral:tRNA from 1 species
GGGGACAUGGCGAAACUGGUAGACGCAAGGGACUUAAAAUCCCUCGGGUUCUCCCGUCCGGGUUCGAGUCCCGGUGUCCCCACCA